rnacentral:lncRNA from 1 species
CGGAGGGCAAGAUUGUGGGAAGCAGCGGGUUGGGAUAGGGUGGCGAGGCAUGGGCCGUGGGGCUGGGACGAAGACACCCCUCUCUCCGCGCUCGCCACUGGCUAUGUGGGCGAGUGGCGGGCGGCGUUCACUGCUGUCCUCUUUUUGGUGUUUCGAGCGAGGCGGAGGGGAAAUAGAUAAAUGAUCAGCCCGCACUGACUGGAAGGAGCCGGCCGUCUAUUUCACCAGGCCGGAGAGAGCAUGUCUUUCCGAGGCGGAGGUCGCGGAGGCUUUAAUCGCGGUGGUGGAGGUGGAGGCUUCAAUCGUGGCGGCGGCAGCAACAACCACUUCCGAGGGGGCGGCGGCGGUGGUGGCGGCGGCGGCAAUUUCAGGGGCGGCGGCCGAGGAGGAUUUGGACGAGGGGGCGGUCGUGGAGGCUUCAAUAAAUUCCAAGAUCAAGGGCCUCCAGAACGAGUCGUCUUAUUAGGAGAGUUCAUGCAUCCCUGUGAAGAUGACAUCGUUUGUAAAUGUACCACAGAAGAAAACAAGGUGCCUUACUUCAAUGCUCCUGUUUAUUUAGAAAACAAAGAACAAAUCGGGAAAGUGGAUGAAAUAUUUGGACAACUUAGAGAUUUUUAUUUUUCAGUUAAAUUGUCAGAAAACAUGAAGGCAUCUUCUUUUAAAAAGCUACAGAAGUUUUACAUAGACCCAUAUAAGCUGCUGCCACUGCAGAGGUUUCUGCCUCGGCCUCCUGGUGAGAAAGGACCUCCCAGAGGUGGUGGCGGUGGAGGUGGUGGUGGCAGGGGAGGUCGAGGAGGAGGAAGAGGAGGCGGUGGCCGAGGUGGUGGUUUUAGAGGUGGAAGAGGAGGAGGUGGGGGCUUCAGAGGAGGAAGAGGAGGAGGCGGCGGAUUCCGAGGAAGGGGACAUUAGAUGUCCAGUUGGCAGACCUGACCACUUCUGUUUCCGCUGCGUGGCCUGCCUCUGCUGUGGCUGGCGUCUGUCUGGAGCAGUCUUGAGGGUGCCAUUCUGUCAGUGGAACUGGAUCGCCAGCAUCGAGUCAGAUCCAGGGGAACAGGACAGUCAAUUUUGCUCAGAAGGAGGAGAACCCCUGCUUUGUACAGUAUCUGGCACUCUGUGGGUGCUUAAAGAACCAUGGGACUUUUCAUUUGAAGCAUAUUUGGAUUUUUUAAAUAAAAUUUUUAAUUUCCU